GCCUGGGUGGCUCAGGGUUUAGCACCAGGAUGUGAUCCUGGAGACCAGGGAUCGAGUCCCAUGUCAGGCU
rnacentral:tRNA from 1 species